rnacentral:rRNA from 1 species
GCCUGGGGAGUACGGCCGCAAGGUUAAAACUCAAAUGAAUUGACGGGGGCCCGCACAAGCGGUGGAGCAUGUGGUUUAAUUCGAUGCAACGCGAAGAACCUUACCUGGUCUUGACAUCCACGGAAGUUUUCAGAGAUGAGAAUGUGCCUUCGGGAACCGUGAGACAGGUGCUGCAUGGCUGUCGUCAGCUCGUGUUGUGAAAUGUUGGGUUA